rnacentral:rRNA from 1 species
GAUCCUGGCUCAGAACGAACGCUGGCGGCAUGCCUUACACAUGCAAGUCGAACGGCAGCACGGGUGCUUGCACCUGGUGGCGAGUGGCGAACGGGUGAGUAAUACAUCGGAACGUACCUUAUCGUGGGGGAUAACGCAGCGAAAGCUGUGCUAAUACCGCAUACGCCCUGAGGGGGAAANCGGGGGAUCGAAAGACCUCGCGCGAUUAGAGCGGCCGAUGCCUGAUUAGCUUGUUGGUGGGGUAAAAGCCCACCAAGGCGACGAUCAGUAGCUGGUCUGAGAGGACGAUCAGCCACACUGGGACUGAGACACGGCCCAGACUCCUACGGGAGGCAGCAGUGGGGAAUAUUGGACAAUGGGCGAAAGCCUGAUCCAGCAAUGCCGCGUGAGUGAUGAAGGCCUUCGGGUUGUAAAGCUCUUUUACCAGGGAUGAUAAUGACAGUACCUGGAGAAUAAGCUCCGGCUAACUCCGUG